rnacentral:rRNA from 1 species
UUUUAUUUAAGUUAGACAUAGACCACGCUCCGGCAGGUUCAGUCGGGCACGGAGACGUAAAAGACAGGUACAAAAACCGAUUAAAAUCUUCAGGGGCGGUACUUACUUUUCUUUUGUACCUGUCUUAUCAGGUAAAGGUAGAACGAUCAAAACGUAUUUGUUCUGUGAUGCCUCCUAACUCUCUACCACUUUAACUUGUUUUAUUUAUUUAAUCCUCCACAGAUGAGUAUUAUUAUGAAUCGGUACGAUCAAACAGUAGAAAUAAACGUAGUGAACAAGUAGUACAUAAUAUAGAAAUAAUUCGUUGAAAAAAUACAAAUCUUGAGAAAUACCGACUUAGACCAAUCCGUGUAAAAGUCAAGUCAAAACGGCAUAUCAAUAGAAGACUACCGACGUACAUCGAAAAGUGGGAAGUCAUUCCUCAGGAAAUAAACAACAUCUAGGAACAGCGGGUACUCACUACCUGCGACAUACCAAUACGUCACGACGACCACACUUCCAAUAAUGGGAAAUACCAAAUAAAAAGAAACUAGUAUAGAAGAAAGGUAGAUAUAGAUGAAGUUUAUAAGAAAGGUACCUUAGAGUUGGCUAACCCAAACAUUAUCCUCCAAACCUAGUACGUCAAACGUCUAUAAGUCAAUAUUUUAUAAACACCAAGUAGUCAAGGAAAACACGUACAACAGUUCUUACACAGUAUACUCGGUUCUAAGUUUGCGAAGACCUACACUUAAACUGUUUUGCCUAGUAGAAUCCUACUCACAGGACUUCUUAGCCUUCUACGACGUUUUGUACUACUACACUAUGACGGUACGAUAAAGAUGACCAGAGAGACGAUCACGGAAUAGCGAGCAAGUGGUUAGAGGUAGGAGUGGUACCAGAGACAUGAGUUGUUCCCACUUGAGAUGUUCAAGAUCAUCCGAGGAGCCACUGAGGAGUGUCCUCUCGAAAACCGGACUAGACUACCUCGACUCUCCAGUUUCCUUCUUCAGUUUGGACUUCUUCACGUACCUCCUUUAAUGUCUACGCACACAGGCCGACCAAGUCCCCUACACGUCCCGCCGGCAUCGGUACGCCCACAGCUCCGUCCGCUAGAGCGCCUACCUACGGUACGACGCUCCCAUCCAAGGACCCGCGGGCGAUGCAACUACUGCCUAAGGUGCGACGCUCGCCGUUGUUAGCCGCUGUUAGCCGCUACCGCUAGCACGUCCCUCCGCUGCCACAACCACCCGCCGUAGACCACGCCACCACUGAGUUCCGUCUGUUUGCAGCUCCAGUUCCCGCUCCCUCGUCUAAACUAACUCAAAAGAAUCAAACGCUAAACUAACGCACUAACAUCCCUUUGUGCCCUCCCUCGUCUAAACCAACACAAAGGAAUCAAACGCUAGACUAACGCACUAACGUCCCUUUGUACCCUAACCAACAACCUUAUGAGGAGACCACCACCUCAUGCCAGUCAGUAAUCUUUAACGAUUCAUGUGUGGUAGGGCGAUAAUCUAUUUACUACCG